AUCCAAAAAGACGAUGAUAUCCACAGAUUCAUAAAAAAAUGGACGUGCAGCUGUUUUGCUACAGUCAGAUGAAAGAGACUGGAAGCCAGUUGCAUAUGCAUCAAGAGCGAUGACCUCAGCUGAAUGUCGAUAUGCACAGAGACGGAUCACGAGCCACUGAUGGCCAUCAUCAAGAAGAAUCUCAGUGAAAUGUCACCACGAAUUCAAAGACUGAUGGUGAAGCUACAGCGCUUUGAUUUUGACCUGAUCUACACACCUGUUUCAGGCUCUCCUGCUCCUGCAGACGAGAAGUGAAUGUGUCUUGGAAAAAGUUUAUUAGCGGAUGAGAAGCUGCGAACCGUCCGGCCAGACUUCAUCGUUCAAGUGUCGAAUCCAGUUCUAGACAAACUGCUGGACGAGUUGCAGCACUGCAAGGGUGAUGACAGAUUCUGAGGCCGAGGAGGUCAGAACCAGACCCAGAUCAGAAAAAGCUAGAGAACUCAUUGACACGGUGAGGAGGAAAGGAGUGGAAGCCAGCUCCAAAAUGAUCUCUGCCUUGUGCUCUAAUGAUGGGUAUCUGAGCAGCGAGUUGGGCCUCAUGUGACGGACAGAACCGAACAGAAACCAGCAGAUCUCAUUUAUUCAGACAGCUGAAAAACAGUGGCGGUGCUUCAAAAACACAGUCACAGCCCAGUCACAUUUACAGAGAAAGUCCCACCAGGUGGUUUGAAGAAAAGACUUGUGACUCCCGGAGGUCCCCCACCAACCAAACAACAAAAGCUCGACUUUGGUGCCAAACCAGUAAGUGGUGGAGAGUUGAAGAAGUUGGUCGGGCAAUAUGUUGUUGAACAACUGCAGCGUUUAAACAUUCGGCCUCGUUUUGUGCCAUCAUAACCAAGAUUCCCACCACUAUCAAUGCCGAGCUGUGACUGAUAGUGGAUCUAACUUUGUGAAGGUGUUUCAAGUUUACCAGCCUGCCAAAGAGUCUGAUGAUGAGGAGGAGAUAGGGGAGGUAGAGUCCACCUCCACAGAUGAUGAUGAUGUAACUUUCUCUGAUCUGUCAGAAAUCCUCUGAAAUGAAAGUGAUGGCCAGCUACACCCCCCACCACAGGUGUGCUUCACGCAUCAUUAACAUCAUAGCAUCAUAUCAUUAAUAUCAAAUAUUUAACAAUCAACGCAGAGAGCAAGGCUGUGUACAGGAGCAGCACAGCAAAAUGCAGAGCUCUUUGGACCAAAUCAAGUAGAUCUUUUCUUUCAUCAGAGAUAGUGGAAGAAGCUGCUGGUACCAACAUCCACCAGUUGGAGUUAUUUUUUUAUGCUCUAAAUAGAAUAGUAGAAAUCCCCAUGAGUGAGCUGAAUACUCUGUGCACCAAGCUGGGAGUUAAGUUCUUCAAAGGCAGAGUACCAGUUCCCACAUGAGUACUGCACUGCCAUUAAGCCUAUGAUUGCAGCGCUGGACAUUUUGCAAGGUGACUUUACUACCCACACUUGAAGUCCUGAUGCAGAAGACCUUGGCAGCUAAAGAUGUCCUCUCUAGGAUGACUGCAGGCCCUCCAGAUGCCAUAGUGCAGGUAUGCUCCAUCUUACACUGUUUAUGAACAUGGAACAGAAUAUUCAUUAUCAUUGCAUAAGAACUUUGCAAUCAAUUCAUUGAAAUAAUAACUAGUUGGUCUUUUAGGCACAAACAUAUCAAAUAUAUUUCUCAGGGUAUCCAGAUUUGUUUUGCUUGUGUGUUGGACGACAACGAUGCCCUUCUCGCAGCUGCCAGCUGUCCAAAAUUUAAUCUCCUAUGGCUUAGAGAUGCAGAUAGGAGGGGGCAAGUAAAAGAGCUUCUAACAGCCGAGUGUCGCACAACUGCUCCUGCAGCACGGAGUCCUCCCAGUGUCCCACCACAUAGGCCAGCCAAGGUGAGAUGGACUUUUUCACUUUUGAGGUAGAGCCAGAGGAGGACACCUACUCUGCAGAAAAGGAAGUCAUGGACUACCAGAGGUCAGCCUGUGACCUUCAGAUUUUGCAUCAGUUUUCUAACAUAAAGAACAUUUUCUUGAAGUAUAACACUCCAACCCCUUCAAGUGCUCCUGUGGGGGUUUGGUGCUCAUGCCUAGAAGAAAUAGACUUUCUGACAAGAGGUUUGAAAAACUUCUGUUGAUGAGGUACAACCACUGGUUUACUCGAUGUAGAAGCUUCCAUGUGGUGUUAUACUCUGUUUUGUUUUGGAAAACCAUUCCUUGCUGUUCCUGCAGUAAACAACAGGUCCAUGUUCAUAAAACAUGUUAGAAAGGAUUUAAUUGCUGGAUUCAUAAACAAUGUCGAUUAUAAAUGGCAAGUUUUGCCAUCACAGUGUUAACUGUUGAAUAUGUCAGGACAAAAUAACAUGUAAUUUUCUUUUUAAAAAAGAGGCCUGCACGGUGGCGCAGUUGGUAGCACUGUUGCCUUGCAGCAAGAAGGUCCUGGAUUCGAUUCCCAGCCGGGGG